rnacentral:rRNA from 1 species
UACGUAGGGGGCAAGCGUUGUCCGGAAUCAUUGGGCGUAAAGAGCGCGCAGGCGGUCGUUCAAGUCGCGUGUGAAAGCCCCCGGCUCAACUGGGGAGGGUCACGCGAUACUGAUCGACUCGAAGGCAGGAGAGGGAAGUGGAAUUCCCGGUGUAGUGGUGAAAUGCGUAGAUAUCGGGAGGAACACCAGUGGCGAAGGCGACUUCCUGGCCUGUUCUUGACGCUGAGGCGCGAAGGCUAGGGGAGCAAACGGG